GUGUUUGCUUUGGCAGCACACAUGCUAAAAUUGGAACGAUACAGAGAAGAUUUGCACGGCCUCUAUGUAGGAACAACACACAAAUUCAUAAAAUACUCCUUGUUUUU
rnacentral:snRNA from 1 species